rnacentral:rRNA from 1 species
AGAGACAGCAGCCGCGCGGUAAUACGGAGGGUGCAAGCGUUAAUCGGAAUUACUGGGCGUAAAGCGCACGCAGGCGGUCUGACAAGUCAGAUGUGAAAUCCCCGGGCUUAACCUGGGAACUGCAUUUGAAACUGUCAGGCUGGAGUCUUGUAGAGGGGGGUGGAAUUCCAGGUGUAGCGGUGAAAUGCGUAGAGAUCUGGAGGAAUACCGGUGGCGAAGGCGGCCCCCUGGACAAAGACUGACGCUCAGGUGCGAAAGCGUGGGGAGCAAACAGGAUUAGAUACCCCUGUAGUCCCUGUCUCUUAUACA